UGAACUCCGAGGGGGUGUUUGCCAACUCAGUUUUCAUGACUUGAACUUUCCAGACUCAUUACGCGUCUGGUGGUUUAAAAUAAAAGCAUGGACGGUCUUCUUGACUCAUCCGCACGCAAAAGUGUAAUACGAGCUGUCAAAGGCUUCAUUCACUUCUUGCUAGGACGUCAGAUGUAUCGAUUUAAUCCAUGGUCGCAGGAAAUCUGGGGACUACGCAAGUAGAACCUAUCCAUA
rnacentral:misc_RNA from 1 species